rnacentral:piRNA from 1 species
GGUGAUUUUUCAGAGUCUUUCUGGAGG